GAAAAGGGAGCUACGGUUCAGUAUAUAGAGCGAAGUUAACUCUGGCUAAAAUCCAAGUUGCUAUCAAGGUUUUUGACCUCCAGGUUAAAUCUGCAGACAGAAGUUUCAUAUCAGAAUGUGAGAUCUUGAGAAGCAUUCGACAUCGAAACCUUCUUCCUAUCCUAACUGCAUGUUCAACGAUAGACCAUAAUGGAAAUGAUUUCAAAGCUCUGAUUUAUGAAUACAUGCCUAAUGGGUGUUUGGAUAUGUGGUUGCAUAAAAAUGUCGCAGUGUUGCUUCAAAAUAUUUGAGUUUAGCUCAAAGAGUAAGUAUAGCAGUUGAUGUUGCUAAUGCAUUGUCGUAUUUACACCACGAAUGCGAAAGGUCUAUUGUCCAUUGUGAUUUGAAGCCAACUAAUAUCCUUCUUGACGAUGAUAUGAAUGCAUAUUUGGGAGAUUUUGGCAUUUCAAGCCUCAUUCUUGAGUCUAGAUUCACCUCACAUGGACAUCCGUGUCCAAAUAGCUCAAUUGGAUUGAAGGGAACCAUAGGGUAUAUAGCUCCAGGUAUAUAUGCUUCUGGUCACAUCUUCAAUUCAUGAAAGUGCUUUCUGCAUUAAUACUUAGACAUUACAGUAUAUUGUAUUGAUUAGUGCGAUUUUAUCUUUUCUUUUAGACUAUACGCAAUGUGGCCGUGCAUCAACCUGUGGGGAUGUUUAUAGCUUUGGAAUAGUACUUCUAGAGAUGUUGAUAGGUAAAAGACCAACAGACCCUAUGUUUGAGAAUGAGCUCAACAUUGUUAACUUUGUGGAGAAGAACUUCCCAAAGCAGAUACCACAGAUAAUUGAUGCUCGACUCCAAGAAGAAUGCAAGGGCUUGAAUCAAGCAAUCACUGAGCAAGGAGAUUGUUUCUAUGUUUGCCUGCUGUCUGUAGCGGAGGUGGCUCUUUCUUGCACUCAUCUGAUCCCAAAAGAACGAAUGACCAUUAGAGAAAUAGCUAUCAAAUUGCAUGCAAUUAGAACGUCCUAUGCUGAAGCGAUCAAGCGGGAGCAUUUGCUUCGCAGGAGAGAGUCACAUUUAUGUGUCAUGGAAGUUGUGUAAUUGACUUUUCUCAGGCUUCGAAAGGCGAUGUGCAUAAAAAAUGUAAACUGUCCAUCAGUAUACGCUUAUGUGAGGAAUUACUACGUACAUGCUUUCUGUACAUGAUGGCUCUCUGCCUGUUUGUGCCUCUUUAAUGGAUGAUGGUGCGCACUAACAUAAUAUUUUUGGUGAAUGGUUUUUACAGUUUGUCUGAUUGGGAUUGUGAACGAUCUAAUCUAGGUGAUUAUGUUAAGCACAUAAACCAUAAUCUACACAUCUGAUGUCAGAUUUCAAAGAACAACACUGCGAAUCCACACUAUCACAACCUAAGUUGGGUCGGCCCCUAAAUCCAAAUCCCAACCUGCAGUUAGCAAUCACAAGAGGAGCACAUGAGAUUAGGAAACCCUCGGAGAUCAUACCUAUAACCACGAUGUUCGCUCACUCAUCGAGUGCCGGCCCGCCUCCUCGCUCCGCCCCUCCGACGUCGUGCGCCGCCGCGGCGCCUGCGCGUGGAGUGGUCCGAGUGGACGGACAGCCGCAACCUCGCGGUGAGAUGGAAGCGAAAC
rnacentral:lncRNA from 1 species